rnacentral:rRNA from 1 species
GUUAUAUGGUCAAGUGAAGAAGCGCAUACGGUGGAUGCCUUGGCAGUCAGAGGCGAUGAAAGACGUGGUAGCCUGCGAAAAGCUUCGGGGAGUCGGCAAACAGACUUUGAUCCGGAGAUCUCUGAAUGGGGGAACCCACCUAGGAUAACCUAGGUAUCUUGUACUGAAUCCAUAGGUGCAAGAGGCGAACCAGGGGAACUGAAACAUCUAAGUACCCUGAGGAAAAGAAAUCAACCGAGAUUCCCUUAGUAGUGGCGAGCGAACGGGGAUUAGCCCUUAAGCUUCAUUGAUUUUAGCGGAACGCUCUGGAAAGUGCGGCCAUAGUGGGUGAUAGCCCCGUACGCGAAAGGAUCUUUGAAGUGAAAUCGAGUAGGACGGAGCACGAGAAACUUUGUCUGAACAUGGGGGACCAUCCUCCAAGGCUAAAUACUACUGACUGACCGAUAGUGAACCAGUACCGUGAGGGAAAGGCGAAAAGAACCCCGGAGAGGGGAGUGAAAUAGAACCUGAAACCGUAUGCGUACAAGCAGUGGGAGCCUACUUGUUAGGUGACUGCGUACCUUUUGUAUAAUGGGUCAGCGACUUAUAUUCAGUGGCAAGCUUAACCGUAUAGGGUAGGCGUAGCGAAAGCGAGUCUUAAUAGGGCGUUUAGUCGCUGGGUAUAGACCCGAAACCGGGCGAUCUAUCCAUGAGCAGGUUGAAGGUUAGGUAACACUGACUGGAGGACCGAACCCACUCCCGUUGAAAAGGUAGGGGAUGACUUGUGGAUCGGAGUGAAAGGCUAAUCAAGCUCGGAGAUAGCUGGUUCUCCUCGAAAGCUAUUUAGGUAGCGCCUCAUGUAUCACUCUGGGGGGUAGAGCACUGUUUCGGCUAGGGGGUCAUCCCGACUUACCAAACCGAUGCAAACUCCGAAUACCCAGAAGUGCCGAGCAUGGGAGACACACGGCGGGUGCUAACGUCCGUCGUGAAAAGGGAAACAACCCAGACCGCCAGCUAAGGUCCCAAAGUUGUGGUUAAGUGGUAAACGAUGUGGGAAGGCUUAGACAGCUAGGAGGUUGGCUUAGAAGCAGCCACCCUUUAAAGAAAGCGUAAUAGCUCACUAGUCGAGUCGGCCUGCGCGGAAGAUGUAACGGGGCUCAAACCACACACCGAAGCUGCGGGUGUCACGUAAGUGACGCGGUAGAGGAGCGUUCUGUAAGCCUGUGAAGGUGAGUUGAGAAGCUUGCUGGAGGUAUCAGAAGUGCGAAUGCUGACAUGAGUAACGACAAUGGGUGUGAAAAACACCCACGCCGAAAGACCAAGGGUUCCUGCGCAACGUUAAUCGACGCAGGGUUAGUCGGUUCCUAAGGCGAGGCUGAAAAGCGUAGUCGAUGGGAAACAGGUUAAUAUUCCUGUACUUCUGGUUACUGCGAUGGAGGGACGGAGAAGGCUAGGCCAGCUUGGCGUUGGUUGUCCAAGUUUAAGGUGGUAGGCUGAAAUCUUAGGUAAAUCCGGGGUUUCAAGGCCGAGAGCUGAUGACGAGUCGUCUUUUAGAUGACGAAGUGGUUGAUGCCAUGCUUCCAAGAAAAGCUUCUAAGCUUCAGGUAACCAGGAACCGUACCCCAAACCGACACAGGUGGUCGGGUAGAGAAUACCAAGGCGCUUGAGAGAACUCGGGUGAAGGAACUAGGCAAAAUGGCACCGUAACUUCGGGAGAAGGUGCGCCGGCUAGGGUGAAGGAUUUACUCCGUAAGCCCUGGCUGGUCGAAGAUACCAGGCCGCUGCGACUGUUUAUUAAAAACACAGCACUCUGCAAACACGAAAGUGGACGUAUAGGGUGUGACGCCUGCCCGGUGCCGGAAGGUUAAUUGAUGGGGUUAGCGCAAGCGAAGCUCUUGAUCGAAGCCCCGGUAAACGGCGGCCGUAACUAUAACGGUCCUAAGGUAGCGAAAUUCCUUGUCGGGUAAGUUCCGACCUGCACGAAUGGCGUAACGAUGGCGGCGCUGUCUCCACCCGAGACUCAGUGAAAUUGAAAUCGCUGUGAAGAUGCAGUGUAUCCGCGGCUAGACGGAAAGACCCCGUGAACCUUUACUGUAGCUUUGCACUGGACUUUGAGCCUGCUUGUGUAGGAUAGGUGGGAGGCUUUGAAGCGUGGACGCCAGUUCGCGUGGAGCCAUCCUUGAAAUACCACCCUGGCAUGCUUGAGGUUCUAACUCUGGUCCGUAAUCCGGAUCGAGGACAGUGUAUGGUGGGCAGUUUGACUGGGGCGGUCUCCUCCUAAAGAGUAACGGAGGAGUACGAAGGUGCGCUCAGACCGGUCGGAAAUCGGUCGCAGAGUAUAAAGGCAAAAGCGCGCUUGACUGCGAGACAGACACGUCGAGCAGGUACGAAAGUAGGUCUUAGUGAUCCGGUGGUUCUGUAUGGAAGGGCCAUCGCUCAACGGAUAAAAGGUACUCCGGGGAUAACAGGCUGAUACCGCCCAAGAGUUCAUAUCGACGGCGGUGUUUGGCACCUCGAUGUCGGCUCAUCACAUCCUGGGGCUGAAGCCGGUCCCAAGGGUAUGGCUGUUCGCCAUUUAAAGUGGUACGCGAGCUGGGUUUAGAACGUCGUGAGACAGUUCGGUCCCUAUCUGCCGUGGACGUUUGAGAUUUGAGAGGGGCUGCUCCUAGUACGAGAGGACCGGAGUGGACGAACCUCUGGUGUUCCGGUUGUCACGCCAGUGGCAUUGCCGGGUAGCUAUGUUCGGAAAAGAUAACCGCUGAAAGCAUCUAAGCGGGAAACUUGCCUCAAGAUGAGAUCUCACUGGGAACUUGAUUCCCCUGAAGGGCCGUCGAAGACUACGACGUUGAUAGGCUGGGUGUGUAAGCGUUGUGAGGCGUUGAGCUAACCAGUACUAAUUGCCCGUGAGGCUUGACCAUAUAACACCCAAACA